AUGUACAUUACUACAAUGUUAAUGCAUUGUAUCCCAUCAGAGCUGUGCAAUUAAGCAUGCUUGGGAUGGAGUAGUAUUGGGAUGGGUGAUCUAUUGGGAGAUCCUAGUGUUUUACAUU
rnacentral:rRNA from 1 species